UACGUAGGGUGCGAGCGUUGUCCGGAAUUAUUGGGCGUAAAGAGCUCGUAGGCGGUUUGUUGCGUCGGCCGUGAAAACCUGCAGCUUAACUGUGGGCCUGCGGCCGAUACGGGCAGACUUGAGUUCGGUAGGGGAGACUGGAAUUCCUGGUGUAGCGGUGAAAUGCGCAGAUAUCAGGAGGAACACCGGUGGCGAAGGCGGGUCUCUGGGCCGAUACUGACGCUGAUGAGCGAAAGCUAGGGGAGCAAACAGG
rnacentral:rRNA from 1 species